rnacentral:tRNA from 1 species
CUAGGCUCCACUUGGCACCCGCGGCGGCAAUUGUGUCCCAGCCCGGGUAGGGCCUUUGGGCGGCUGCAC